rnacentral:misc_RNA from 1 species
UGUGUAAAUGUUGAUGGACUGCCCCU